rnacentral:rRNA from 1 species
AUUGAACGCUGGCGGCAUGCUUUACACAUGCAAGUCGAACGGCAGCGCGGGCUUCGGCCUGGCUGCGAGUGGCGAACGGGUGAGUAAUGCAUCGGAACGUGCCCAGUAGUGGGGGAUAGCCCGGCGAAAGCCGGAUUAAUACCGCAUACGACCUGAUGGUGAAAGCGGGGGACCGAUAGGCCUCGCGCGAUUGGAGGGGCCGAUGUCGGAUUAGCUAGUUGGUGGGGUAAAGGCUUACCAAGGCGACGAUCCGUAGCUGGUCUGAGAGGACGACCAGCCACACUGGGACUGAGACACGGCCCAGACUCCUACGGGAGGCAGCAGUGGGGAAUUUUGGACAAUGGGGGCAACCCUGAUCCAGCCAUGCCGCGUGCGGGAAGAAGGCCUUCGGGUUGUAAACCGCUUUUGUUCGGGAAGAAAUCCUCUGGGCUAAUACCCCGGGGGGAUGACGGUACCGGAAGAAUAAGCACCGGCUAACUACGUG